rnacentral:rRNA from 1 species
GAAUAAACGUUGGCGGCGUGCCUAACACAUGCAAGUCGAGCGAGAAAGUUCCUUCGGGAGCGAGUACAGCGGCGUACGGUUGAGUAACACGUGAGAAUCUCCCCUUCAGUGAAGAAUACCUUCGAGAAAUCGAAGUUAAUGCUGCAUAUGUCUUAACAAAGAUAAAGAUGGCCUCUUUGCUGUCGCUGAAGGAUGAGCUUGCGGCCUAUCAGCUAGUUGGUGAGGUAAUGGCUUACCAAGGCUAAGACGGGUAGCCGGCCUGAGAGGGUGAACGGCCAGACUGGAACUUAGACACGGUCCAGACUCCUACGGGAGGCAGCAGUGGGGAAUAUUGCGCAAUGGGCGAAAGCCUGACGCAGCGACGCCGCGUGAAGGAUGAAGGUCUUCGGAUUGUAAACUUCUGUUAAGUGGGAAGAAAAGUCUAUAAGUAAUAUGUAUAGAAAAUGACGGUACCAUUAGAGAAAGCACCGGCUAAUCUCGUGCCAGCAGCCGCGGUAAUACGAGAGGUGCAAACGUUAUUCGGAUUUACUGGGCGUAAAGGGUGCGUAGACGGUAUGAUAAGUCAACUGUUUAAUCUUCUGGCCUAACCAGAAGUAUGCGGUAGAAACUAUUGUGCUAGAGGAUGGAAGAGAGAAGUGGAAUUCUCGGAGUAGCGGUAAAAUGCGUAGAUCUCGAGAGGAACACCGAUGGCGAAAGCAGCUUCUUGGUCCAUUUCUGACGUUGAGGCACGAAAGCGUGGGGAGCAAACAGGAUUAGAUACCCUGGUAGUCCACGCUGUAAACGAUGAUCAUUAGACGUUAUUUUUGCUCUGCAAGAGUAGUGUCGUAGCUAACGCGAUAAAUGAUCCGCCUGGGCAGUACGGUCGCAAGACUAAAACUUAAAGGAAUUGACGGGGGUCCGCACAAGCGGUGGAACAUGUGGUUUAAUUCGACAAUACGCGAGGAACCUUACCUAGGUUUGACAUGCAUUUGACCGCUGUAGAAAUAUGGUUUUUCAAAUCUUUGAUUUGGACAGAUGCACAGGUGCUGCAUGGCUGUCGUCAGCUCGUGUCGUGAGAUGUUUGGUUGAGUCCUCUAACGAGCGCAACUCCUACCAUCAGUUGCCAUUUCGUAAGAAAGCACUCUGAUGGGACUGCCUAGGAAACUAGGAGGAAGGUGGGAACGACGUCAAGUCAUCAUGGUCCUUAUGUCUAGGGCAACACACGUGUUACAAUGGUCGGUACAAUGAGCUGCAAACCUGUAAAGGGAAGCUAAUCUUAUAAAGCCGAUCUUAGUUCGGAUUGGGGUCUGCAACUCGACCCCAUGAAGUUGAAAUCGCUAGUAAUCGCAUAUCAGAACGAUGCGGUGAAUACGUUCUCGGGCC